rnacentral:sRNA from 2 species
ACCUGCUACACGGGGGAAACUGUGCGCUGCGGAUUACGGGAGCAGACAUGGAGUCCCAGGCUGUUUGUCCAAGCGCGCCAGCCGUUGUGGCGUGGAAGAUAAGAUAGUCCAUGCCCAUGCCCGUUGUUGGCUUUGCGUGAACGAGAACAGAAGAAGCAUUAGUAUCACCAACUCCGAGUCUCCUCCUUCGAAAAAGAAAGAAGCAGAUUGGAACAACAAUUUAACUUCUUUUUCUUUUUCUUUUCUUUUUAUUUCGUGCAUUUCUUCUUUUCUUCGUCCUCGACUCACCACGCCAAUACCCGUCUCAGAUUUCGAACCGGCAAGGGUUCGACGUUGUAGAUCCAAGAUUUUUUCUCUUCUCUUCUUUUUUUGGAGAUUUUUUUUCUUUUUAUUGUUCCGUUUGGUGUUUAAAGAGUUGAAUUGGAAUACCAUGGAUCAUCCCCAAAGCCAAAUGUUGGUUCGAGAAGGUUUGAUAGGAAAAAUAUAACUACCAUCUUGCAACAUUCCGAACCUCUAUCUGAUCACAGGUAGGCAGGAAGAUCGAAUUGUGUUCAUAUUUCAUGUUCCCGCCUGCUUGCCAAUGUUGACCAUUUCAGAGAGAUAUAUAUCAUAACGUUCUAGGAAUGAAUUGUAGAUUAUCAUUCGGUUUAUUGUUAAAGGUACUCUGGAGGCCUGUGAUAUUGUAGUUCCUCCUCGCCCUCCUCCUCCUCCUCCUCUUCCUCUUCGUCUUCCUCUUACUUCUCCUCUCUUCCCUCCUCUGGAGACAUCGAUUGCUCCGGACCUCGGUGAUGACGUAGCUCGA